rnacentral:tRNA from 1 species
GGUCCAAUAGCUCAGUUGGAUAGAGCAACAGCCUUCUAAGCUGUGGG